CCGCCAUCUUUCUGUGCCGCCACAAUGGUGCGCAUGAACGUCCGGGCCGAUGCCCUCAAGAGCAUCAACAAUGCUGAAAAGAGAGGCAAAUGCCAGGUUCUUAUUACGCCGUGCUCCAAAGUCAUCGUCAGGUCUCUAACGGUGAUGAUGAAGCAUGGUUACAUUGGCGAAUUUGAAAUCAUCGACGAUCACAGAGCUGGGAAAAUUGUUGUGAACCUCACAGGCAGGCUAAAUAAGUGUGGAGUUAUCAGCCCAAGGUUUGAUGUGCAACUCAAAGAUCUAGAAAAAUGGCAGAAUAACCUGCUCCUGUCCUGUCAGUUUGGGUUCAUUGUACUUACAACCUCAGCUGGCAUCAUGGACCAUGAAGAAGCAAGACGAAAACACACAGAAGGGAAAAUCCUUGGAUUCUUUUUCUAGGGAUGUAAUACAUAUGUGCAAAUAAAAUGGCUCAGUGGAAAAAAAAAAAAAAAA